AAGUCGUAACAAGGUUUCCGUAGGUGAACCUGCGGAAGGAUCAUUACCGAGUACAGGGCCCCAAGCGGGCCCAUACUCAAACCCUUUGUGUACGUUCUCUGUUGCUUUGGCGGCGGCACAUGCAUGCCGUCGGAGGGUCUGCGAAACUCUUGCUAUUUAUGCAGUCUGAGCUAGGUACAAAUGUCAAAACUUUCAACAAUGGAUCUCUUGGUUCUG
rnacentral:misc_RNA from 1 species